UACAGAGGAUGCAAGCGUUGUCCGGAAUCACUGGGCGUAAAGGGCGCGUAGGUGGCGGCCCAAGUCCAUGGUGAAAGCUCGCCGCUCAACGGCGAGUCGGCCACGGAUACUGGGUUGCUCGAGCACUGUAGGGGCAGAUGGAAUUCCGGGUGUAGAGGUGAAAUUCGUAGAUAUUCGGAAGAACACCAGUGGCGAAGGCGGCUCACUGGUCCGGUACUGACGCUGAGGUGCGAAAGCGUGGGGAGCAAACAGG
rnacentral:rRNA from 1 species